UAGAGAUUCUUCGGAAUCUUGAGAGCGGCGUACGGGUGCGGAACACGUGUGCAACCUACCUUUAUCAGGGGGAUAGCCUUUCGAAAGGAAGAUUAAUACCCCAUAAUAUAUUGAAUGGCAUCAUUUAAUAUUGAAAACUCCGGUGGAUAGAGAUGGGCACGCGCAAGAUUAGAUAGUUGGUAGGGUAACGGCCUACCAAGUCAAUGAUCUUUAGGGGGCCUGAGAGGGUGAUCCCCCACACUGGUACUGAGACACGGACCAGACUCCUACGGGAGGCAGCAGUGAGGAAUAUUGGACAAUGGGUGAGAGCCUGAUCCAGCCAUCCCGCGUGAAGGACGACGGCCCUAUGGGUUGUAAACUUCUUUUGUAUAGGGAUAAACCUACUCUCGUGAGAGUAGCUGAAGGUACUAUACGAAUAAGCACCGGCUAACUCCGUGCCAGCAGCCGCGGUAAUACGGAGGGUGCAAGCGUUAUCCGGAUUUAUUGGGUUUAAAGGGUCCGUAGGCGGAUCUGUAAGUCAGUGGUGAAAUCUCAUAGCUUAACUAUGAAACUGCCAUUGAUACUGCAGGUCUUGAGUAAAGUAGAAGUGGCUGGAAUAAGUAGUGUAGCGGUGAAAUGCAUAGAUAUUACUUAGAACACCAAUUGCGAAGGCAGGUCACUAUGUUUUAACUGACGCUGAUGGACGAAAGCGUGGGGAGCGAACAGGAUUAGAUACCCUGGUAGUCCACGCCGUAAACGAUGCUAACUCGUUUUUGGGUCUUCGGAUUCAGAGACUAAGCGAAAGUGAUAAGUUAGCCACCUGGGGAGUACGUUCGCAAGAAUGAAACUCAAAGGAAUUGACGGGGGCCCGCACAAGCGGUGGAUUAUGUGGUUUAAUUCGAUGAUACGCGAGGAACCUUACCAAGGCUUAAAUGGGAAUUGACAGGUUUAGAAAUAGACUUUUCUUCGGACAAUUUUCAAGGUGCUGCAUGGUUGUCGUCAGCUCGUGCCGUGAGGUGUUAGGUUAAGUCCUGCAACGAGCGCAACCCCUGUCACUAGUUGCCAUCAUUCAGUUGGGGACUCUAGUGAGACUGCCUACGCAAGUAGAGAGGAAGGUGGGGAUGACGUCAAAUCAUCACGGCCCUUACGCCUUGGGCCACACACGUAAUACAAUGGCCAGUACAGAGGGCAGCUACCAGGCGACUGGAUGCGAAUCUCGAAAGCUGGUCUCAGUUCGGAUUGGAGUCUGCAACUCGACUCUAUGAAGCUGGAAUCGCUAGUAAUCGCAUAUCAGCCAUGAUGCGGUGAAUACGUUCCCGGGCCUUGUACACACCGCCCGUCAAGCCAUGGAAGUUUGGGGUACCUGAAGUCGGUGACCG
rnacentral:rRNA from 1 species